rnacentral:sRNA from 1 species
GAUUUAAAUGAGGUUCCCACAAGGCUUUGUAGUCGCAAAACACAGAGGUGACUCUUUUAACUCAGAGGCACUUUCCUCUGCCUUGCGUUUUAAUUUUAGAGCAUUGAUGAAUUGAUCGAGAAGACGGUCCCUGCCAACAUCCGUUUGAAAAGACCCUUGAAAAUGGAAGACCCUGUUUGAUCACCCAGUAUACUCCAUACCAGCCUGAGGUGUCUCAGGGGAGGCUGGAGAGUUUACUCAACUACCAGACCAUGGUGUGUGACAUCACAGGCCUGGACAUGGCCAAUGCAUCCCUGCUGGAUGAGGGGACUGCAGCUGCAGAGGCACUGCAGCUGUGCUACAGACACAACAAGAGGAGGAAAUUUUUUGUUGACCCCCGUUGCCACCCACAGACAAUAGCUGUUGUCCAGACUCGAGCCAAAUAUACUGGAGUCCUCACUGAGCUGAAGUUACCCUGUGAAAUGGACUUCAGUGGAAAAGAUGUCAGCGGAGUGUUGUUCCAGUACCCAGACACGGAGGGGAAGGUGGAAGACUUUACGGAACUCGUGGAGAGAGCUCAUCAGAGUGGGAGCCUGGCCUGCUGUGCUACUGACCUUUUAGCUUUGUGCAUCUUGAGGCCACCUGGAGAAUUUGGGGUAGACAUCGCCCUGGGCAGCUCCCAGAGAUUUGGAGUGCCACUGGGCUAUGGGGGACCCCACGCAGCAUUUUUUGCUGUCCGAGAAAGCUUGGUGAGAAUGAUGCCUGGAAGAAUGGUGGGGGUAACAAGAGACGCCACUGGGAAAGAAGUGUAUCGUCUUACUCUUCAAACCAGGGAGCAACACAUUCGGAGAGACAAGGCUACCAGCAACAUCUGUACAGCUCAGGCCCUCUUGGCGAAUAUGGCUGCCAUGUUUGCAAUCUACCAUGGUUCCCAUGGGCUGGAGCAUAUUGCUAGGAGGGUACAUAAUGCCACUUUGAUUUUGUCAGAAGGUCUCAAGCGAGCAGGGCAUCAACUCCAGCAUGACCUGUUCUUUGAUACCUUGAAGAUUCAGUGUGGCUGCUCAGUGAAGGAGGUCUUGGGCAGGGCCGCUCAGCGGCAGAUCAAUUUUCGGCUUUUUGAGGAUGGCACACUUGGUAUUUCUCUUGAUGAAACAGUCAAUGAAAAAGAUCUGGAUGAUUUGUUGUGGAUCUUUGGUUGUGAGUCAUCUGCAGAACUGGUUGCUGAAAGCAUGGGAGAGGAGUGCAGAGGUAUUCCAGGGUCUGUGUUCAAGAGGACCAGCCCGUUCCUCACCCAUCAAGUGUUCAACAGCUACCACUCUGAAACAAACAUUGUCCGGUACAUGAAGAAACUGGAAAAUAAAGACAUUUCCCUUGUUCACAGCAUGAUUCCACUGGGAUCCUGCACCAUGAAACUGAACAGUUCGUCUGAACUCGCACCUAUCACAUGGAAAGAAUUUGCAAACAUCCACCCCUUUGUGCCUCUGGAUCAAGCUCAAGGAUAUCAGCAGCUUUUCCGAGAGCUUGAGAAGGAUUUGUGUGAACUCACAGGUUAUGACCAGGUCUGUUUCCAGCCAAACAGCGGAGCCCAGGGAGAAUAUGCUGGACUGGCCACUAUCCGAGCCUACUUAAACCAGAAAGGAGAGGGGCACAGAACGGUUUGCCUCAUUCCGAAAUCAGCACAUGGGACCAACCCAGCAAGUGCCCACAUGGCAGGCAUGAAGAUUCAGCCUGUGGAGGUGGAUAAAUAUGGGAAUAUCGAUGCAGUUCACCUCAAGGCCAUGGUGGAUAAGCACAAGGAGAACCUAGCAGCUAUCAUGAUUACAUACCCGUCCACCAAUGGGGUGUUUGAAGAGAACAUCAGUGACGUGUGUGACCUCAUCCAUCAACAUGGAGGACAGGUCUACCUAGACGGGGCAAAUAUGAAUGCUCAGGUGGGAAUCUGUCGCCCUGGAGACUUUGGGUCUGAUGUCUCGCACCUAAAUCUUCACAAGACCUUCUGCAUUCCCCACGGAGGAGGUGGUCCUGGCAUGGGGCCCAUCGGAGUGAAGAAACAUCUCGCCCCGUUUUUGCCCAAUCAUCCCGUCAUUUCACUAAAGCGGAAUGAGGAUGCCUGUCCUGUGGGAACCGUCAGUGCGGCCCCAUGGGGCUCCAGUUCCAUCUUGCCCAUUUCCUGGGCUUAUAUCAAGAUGAUGGGAGGCAAGGGUCUUAAACAAGCCACGGAAACUGCGAUAUUAAAUGCCAACUACAUGGCCAAGCGAUUAGAAAAACACUACAGAAUUCUUUUCAGGGGUGCAAGAGGUUAUGUGGGUCAUGAAUUUAUUUUGGACACGAGACCCUUCAAAAAGUCUGCAAAUAUUGAGGCUGUGGAUGUGGCCAAGAGACUCCAGGAUUAUGGAUUUCACGCCCCUACCAUGUCCUGGCCUGUGGCAGGGACCCUCAUGGUGGAGCCCACUGAGUCGGAGGACAAGGCAGAGCUGGACAGAUUCUGUGAUGCCAUGAUCAGCAUUCGGCAGGAAAUUGCUGACAUUGAGGAGGGCCGCGUCGACCCCAGGGUCAAUCCGCUGAAGAUGUCUCCACACUCCCUGACCUGCGUUACAUCUUCCCACUGGGACCGGCCUUAUUCCAGAGAGGUGGCAGCAUUCCCACUCCCCUUCGUGAAACCAGAGAACAAAUUCUGGCCAACGAUUGCCCGGAUUGAUGACAUAUAUGGAGAUCAGCACCUGGUUUGUACCUGCCCACCCAUGGAAGUUUAUGAGUCUCCAUUUUCUGAACAAAAGAGGGCGUCCUCUUAGUCCUGUCUCCCUAAGUUUAAAGGACUGAUUUGAUGCCUCUCCCUAGAGCAUUUGAUAAGCAAGAAAGAUUUCAUCUCCCACCCCAGCCUCAAGUAGGAGUUUUAUAUAAUGUGUAUAUCUCUGUAAUCUCUGUCAAGGUAAAUGUAAAUACAGUAGCUGGAAGGAGUCGAAGCUGAUGGUUGGAAGACGGAUUUGCUUUGGUAUUCUGCUUCCACAUGUGCCAGCUGCCUGGAUUGGGAGCCAUUUUGUGUUUUGCGUAGAAAGUUUUAGGAACUUUAACUUUUAAUGUGGCAAGUUUGCAGAUGUCAUAGAGGCUAUCCUGGAGACUUAAUAGACAUUUUUUUGUUCCAAAAGAGUCCAUGUGGACUGUGCCAUCUGUGGGAAAUCCCAGGGCAAAUGUUUACAUUUUGUAUACCCUGAAGAACUCACUUUUCCUCUAAUAUGCCUAAUCUGUAAUCACAUUUCUGAGUGUUUUCCUCUUUUUCUGUGUGAGGUUUUUUUUUAAA